UACGUAGGGGGCAAGCGUUGUCCGGAUUUAUUGGGCGUAAAGCGCGUGUAGGUGGCCGAUUAGGUCCGCUGUGAAAACUCGAGGCUCAACCUCGAGAUGUCGGUGGAAACCAGUCGGCUAGAGUCCGGAAGAGGAGAGUGGAAUUCCUGGUGUAGCGGUGAAAUGCGCAGAUAUCAGGAAGAACACCAAUGGCGAAGGCAGCUCUCUGGGACGGUACUGACACUGAGACGCGAAAGCGUGGGGAGCAAACAGG
rnacentral:rRNA from 1 species